GACGAACGCUGGCGGCGUGCUUAACACAUGCAAGUCGAACGGAAAGGCCCUGCUUUUGUCGGGUGCUCGAGUGGCGAACGGGUGAGUAACAAGUGAGUAACCUUCCCUUGACUUUGGGAUAACUUCAGGAAACUGGGGCUAAUACCUGAUAGGAGCUCCUGCUGCAUGGUGUUGGUUGGAAAGUUUCGGCGGUUGGGGAUGGACUCCCGGCUUAUCAGCUUGUUGGUGGGGUAGUGGCUCACCAAGCGUUCGACGGGUAGCCGGCCUGAGAGGGUGACCGGCCACAUUGGGACUGAGAUACGGCGCAGAAUCCUACGGGCGGCAGCAGUGGAGAAUAUUGAACAGUGAGCGCAAGAGUGAUGCAACAACGCCGCGUGCGGGAUGCCGGCCUUCGGGGUGUAAACCGCUUUCGCCUGUGACCAAGCGUGAGUGACGGUAACGGGUGAAGAAGCACCGGCUAACUACGUG
rnacentral:rRNA from 1 species